GGCGAGAUAGCUCAGCUGGUUAGAGCGUCGGAUUCAUAAUCCGGAGGUCCAGGGUUCAAGUCCCUGUCUCGCUA
rnacentral:tRNA from 1 species